UGAUAAUACAAUGUUUUAUCAUGAUUAUUACUAUUAUUAAAGCCUUGUACUUCAAUGCGUACCAAAAACCCCACUGCCCCCUGUUUUGUUCCCCCCAAACCAUCCUUUUUAGUUUUUACUUGCUUUUAAAUACCAAAAAGAUGCAAUUUUCACGUGCAAGAGUCCAAAUAAAAAGUUGCAUAUACCUCCUGGAUUUCAUGAGCUACGGCAAGCCUAGCAUUGCUGAAACGGUUAAAGUCUCGUGUUUGUAGCAACGUUUUUGAUAAAGGGGUUUUUCUGAUAAACAUUUUCUGGUAUUGGGAUAAAUCAUGAUGGUUGGUUCAUGUUUUUGUUGCUUAUUACAAUCAUGAGCUAUAAUAAACUCUUCUCUUCCAUACAUAUCUACGUGGUUGGUGUGCCUAUAUAUAGAGACAAUCACAUGCAUUCCUAGACAUCUCAACUCAAAACAACACACAGAUAAUCAGUAAUAUCGACAAAGGCAAAAGCAAGCACCCAGCAUGGACAAGAACAACUCAGAACUGUACUUAAAGAACUGCAAAAUCUUUCAGGAGAAUGAGAGGCUUAGGAAGCAAGCUGCGGAGCUGAAACAGGAGAACAAGGCUCUGCUUACCGAGUUGACGCAUAGAAUUGUUGCUUCCAUCUCCGCUGCAAACAAAACUACUGCUGAUUGCAACUCGAAGAAAACAGACCCAAAGAAGUGAAGCAAGCAUCAACCUUAUGGCAUCUAGACUUUUAAUGAACCAGUUUUGUUAUAAGUCUUUGUGCCAAUUUAUCUUUUAUCGUUGUUAUCAGAUUGCAGAUUACUGUUUUAAUGUCAGAAAGAAAUAAAUGAUAUGUUCAUCCAGUGGGUU